AUCUCACCAGGUCAUAAUGGUAGGAAAGCAUCAUGGUCGUGAUUUUUCUUUUUCUCUCUCUAAGGAAUUAUCAGGGACCGAUUCCCCUCACUUCAUUCUGGAUGGUAUCAGCAAUUUUGAUAUUCAACAAGGACUAGCAGUUUUGGCCAUGUGGGCAGUGGGUGGAUGUGGUGGUGGAGGACCGUCUCCUUGUGAGCUCAAUCAGUGGAAAAUACCUGUUUGUUUAUCCCCAUUGAGGGAGCAGCGAAUUUUGGCCCUGUUUGCUUAAGAAGGCUUAUGCCAAGUAAGCACUUUCUGGAACUUCCAGCUUCCUCUUCUCUCCACGUUCCUGGAUGAAUAUGCUUACCCAGCUGCACCACUUGUGACAUGCCAGACCUCAUUAAUCCUUAGGCAAACCUGUUGUCUGUAGGACACGCCUUGGGGGAGGGAGGGAAUAAGGCAUUGAAAAGGGUGGAUUUUCUGACUCUGUAUCAGCUGCAGAAUGCCCUUUGGCAUCAGAGGGACUGAGCUUCCAUGCCCAGUAGGUGUUCAGGUAUUAACUUCCUAUGUUUACAAUUCACUUAUUACUUUAUUUUAUCCAUAGUCACAGAGCUAAUAAGAGUCAAAGGCAGAACCUGAACCCAGUACUUCUUGUCUCCUCAUCUAGCACUCUAACCACAUGACACAUUGUAUAAUGAGGAACUGGUAAGACACUGCUUUAUCAGACCCCAAACUCACUUCUGAGCCUCUGAAGUGACUGCUUUUAAGUAUUUAUUUGUUUACUUAUCCAUUCAUUUAUGUCUUCAUUCAGUUAUUUGUUCAUUCACUCAUUCAUUUAUUUGCUUAUUUAUUUAGUGGUGGGGGAUCUCUCUUUCUCAACCCGAGCUGGAAAUACAAUGGCCACUCUUGAUCCAACUGGAAUCUUUGAACUAUUAUGUUUUAACUUAACCUAGUUUGUCCCCUUUUAGGCAACCUGAUGGUCCACUUCCACUCUCAACCCUAUCUCCAUACCUUCCUAGGGGCCCAUAAUAUUGGUAUCCAGAAUUAGAGUGGACACCUGACUUUAGCCCUCCUUCUUGUAUUUCAGAAUUCAAGUCAUUCACCAGUUUCAGCCUCCCCCAGCAGCAGGGAUUACAGGCAGGCAUCGCACUUCCAGAAAGUUUGUUUUUAACUGUCCUUUGAACCAGCUGGUGAGAAAUAUCUAAGAAUUC
rnacentral:lncRNA from 1 species